rnacentral:rRNA from 1 species
UGCGGGUAACGGCCACCAAAGCGACGAUCAGUAGCCGGCCUGAGAGGGUGGACGGCCACAUUGGGACUGAGACACGGCCCAAACUCCUACGGGAGGCAGCAGUAGGGAAUUUUGCACAAUGGGGGAAACCCUGAUGCAGCGACGCCGCGUGAGCGAAGAAGUAUCUCGGUAUGUAAAGCUCUAUCAGCAGGGAAGAAGAUGACGGUACCUGACUAAGAAGCACCGGCUAAAUAC